GAAGCGUCUGGAAAGGCGCGCGAUACAGGGUGACAGCCCCGUACACAAAAGCGCAUGUGCUGUGAGCUCGAUGAGUAGGGCGGGACACGUGGUAUCCUGUCUGAAUAUGGGGGGACCAUCCUCCAAGGCUAAAUACUCCUGACUGACCGAUAGUGAACCAGUACCGUGAGGGAAAGGCGAAAAGAACCCCGGCGAGGGGAGUGAAAAAGAACCUGAAACCGUGUACGUACAAGCAGUGGGAGCCCCACCACUAAGCCAGUGGUGAACUCCACAUACGCAUCCUUUGCUGAGGAUACGGUUAACGGAGCGAAAGCGACGUUCAACCUCAAAAGAAGCAGAGGGGGCUUAGUGGUGGGGUGACUGCGUACCUUUUGUAUAAUGGGUCAGCGACUUAUAUUCUGUAGCAAGGUUAACCGAAUAGGGGAGCCGGAGGGAAACCGAGUCUUAACCGGGCGUUAAGUUGCAGGGUAUAGACCCGAAACCCGGUGAUCUAGCCAUGGGCAGGUUGAAGGUUGGGUAACACUAACUGGAGGACCGAACCGACUAAUGUUGAAAAAUUAGCGGAUGACCUGUGGCUGGGGGUGAAAGGCCAAUCAAACCGGGAGAUAGCUGGUUCUCCCCGAAAGCUAUUUAGGUAGCGCCUCGUGAAUUCAUCUCCGGGGGUAGAGCACUGUUUCGGCUAGGGGGCCAUCCCGGCUUACCAACCCGAUGCAAACUGCGAAUACCGGAGAAUGUUAUCACGGGAGACACACGGCGGGUGCUAACGUCCGUCGUGAAGAGGGAAACAACCCAGACCGCCAGCUAAGGUCCCAAAGUCAUGGUUAAGUGGGAAACGAUGUGGGAAGGCCCAGACAGCCAGGAUGUUGGCUUAGAAGCAGCCAUCAUUUAAAGAAAGCGUAAUAGCUCACUGGUCGAGUCGGCCUGCGCGGAAGAUGUAACGGGGCUAAACCAUG
rnacentral:rRNA from 1 species